rnacentral:rRNA from 1 species
GACGAACGCUCUUUGCGUGCUUAACACAUGCAAGUCGAACGGAAAGGCCCUGCUUUUGUGGGGUGCUCGAGUGGCGAACGGGUGAGUAACACGUGAGUAACCUGCCCUUGACUUUGGGAUAACUUCAGGAAACUGGGGCUAAUACCGGAUAGGAGCUCCUGCUGCAUGGUGGGGGUUGGAAAGUUUCGGCGGUUGGGGAUGGACUCGCGGCUUAUCAGCUUGUUGGUGGGGUAGUGGCUUACCAAGGCUUUGACGGGUAGCCGGCCUGAGAGGGUGACCGGCCACAUUGGGACUGAGAUACGGCCCAGACUCCUACGGGAGGCAGCAGUGGGGAAUAUUGCACAAUGGGCGGAAGCCUGAUGCAGCAACGCCGCGUGCGGGAUGACGGCCUUCGGGUUGUAAACCGCUUUCGCCUGUGACGAAGCGUGAGUGACGGUAAUGGGUAAAGAAGCACCGGCUAACUACGUGCCAGCAGCCGCGGUGAUACGUAGGGUGCGAGCGUUGUCCGGAUUUAUUGGGCGUAAAGGGCUCGUAGGUGGUUGAUCGCGUCGGAAGUGUAAUCUUGGGGCUUAACCCUGAGCGUGCUUUCGAUACGGGUUGACUUGAGGAAGGUAGGGGAGAAUGGAAUUCCUGGUGGAGCGGUGGAAUGCGCAGAUAUCAGGAGGAACACCAGUGGCGAAGGCGGUUCUCUGGGCCUUUCCUGACGCUGAGGAGCGAAAGCGUGGGGAGCGAACAGGCUUAGAUACCCUGGUAGUCCACGCUGUAAACGGUGGGUACUAGGUGUGGGGUCCAUUCCACGGGUUCCGUGCCGUAGCUAACGCUUUAAGUACCCCGCCUGGGGAGUACGGCCGCAAGGCUAAAACUCAAAGGAAUUGACGGGGCCCCGCACAAGCGGCGGAGCAUGCGGAUUAAUUCGAUGCAACGCGUAGAACCUUACCUGGGUUUGACAUGGAUCGGGAGUGCUCAGAGAUGGGUGUGCCUCUUUUGGGGUCGGUUCACAGGUGGUGCAUGCCUGUCGUCAGCUCGUGUCGUGAGAUGUUGGGUUAAGUCCCGCAACGAGCGCAACCCUUGUUCACUGUUGCCAGCACGUUAUGGUGGGGACUCAGUGGAGACCGCCGGGGUCAACUCGGAGGAAGGUGGGGAUGACGUCAAGUCAUCAUGCCCCUUAUGUCCAGGGCUUCACGCAUGCUACAAUGGCUGGUACAGAGAGUGGCGAGCCUGUGAGGGUGAGCGAAUCUCGGAAAGCCGGUCUCAGUUCGGAUUGGGGUCUGCAACUCGACCUCAUGAAGUCGGAGUCGCUAGUAAUCGCAGAUCAGCAACGCUGCGGUGAAUACGUUCCCGGG